GAUGCUGACGGGUCAUGUCAAGAGAAGAGGCGAGUGGAACCUAAGUACUCCUGAACUUUUCUUCUCCUGGACAGUAUACAGAAAAAUCUGAAGACAUUUCAAAGAAGACUUUGCUGCUCAAGAGUGUUGGUCUUCAUCGCUCUUUAAGAAACUGAUUAGUUCGUAGUAUUAAAUCGCUUUCGGCGGACAUUGGCGGGUCAUCGUAAAAUGUUUCCAGAGAGAGGAGGACGCUUGACUUUUCUGACUGGGGUUUUGAUCGCGACGCUGUCAUGUGAAGCGAGAGGUCCUCCAUGGGUGAGUCGUCAGGUAGAGGAAGGAGAG